rnacentral:lncRNA from 1 species
GGAUGAUGAAAGAAAGGAAGCCCGAAGUUUUAGAGCUGGAUCAGGCCCAGUUUCCAGUCUUCUCUCCUAUGAGAAUGCCUGAGGCCAUUUGUUAGUGAGGUCGUGCUGUUCUUCCUGACCACGACUCAUACUUUGUUGUCACUCCGUCCUUGCCCUGAAAUCACUUAGGCCGGUCGGUAAAGGACGGUUGUACCUGGAUUCCUGCAGGUGGGAUUGGUUUGCUUUCAGCUUCUCUGUGUGUCCUACGGGGUCCCGUCCAUCUGCUGAGGACAGUUGCAGCCCAGCACAGCCCCUGACGCUGACAGGAGAUUGUCCCCACAGCAGAACCUUGGCGGGAGACUCAAGGCACAGUGUACUGUGGUUCCAGUCGGGCAAAAAGGCAAGAAAAGUUUUGAAGGCAUAAAGGCAUAAAGUUUUGAAAGGAAGAAGGUGAAGAAAGAAUUCACAGGUGACAGGACUGUGUACAUGGGAAAUCUGAAAGAAUCUACAAACAUGUUACUGAAGGUGAGGUGUGAAUGUCAUAAGAUUGCAGGGUACAAGGCCAGUGUCCCAAGUCAGAUAUAAUUCUACAUACAAGCAACAAACAGCCAGACAGUGAAAAAAGUACCAUUAACAAUGCCACCAAAAUCAGUGGAAUACCUAGGAGUACAUAGAAUGAAAGAUAGGUGAGAUCCUUCCACUGAAAUUAGAGAAGUGAAGGAAGCCCGACGUGGAGAAGUGCACCGUGCUCGUGGAGUGGACUCAGCAUGGGAAGAUAACAUGUCCGUCAAAUUGAUUCAGGGCUGUCCCGAUCAAAACCCCAGCAGGAUUUUC